rnacentral:rRNA from 1 species
GAUCAUGGCUCAGGAUGAACGCUGGCGGCGUGCUUAACACAUGCAAGUCGAGCGAAGCAAUUUAAGUGAAGUUUUCGGAUGGAUCUUAAAUUGACUGAGCGGCGGACGGGUGAGUAACGCGUGGAUAACCUGCCUCACACAGGGGGAUAACAGUUAGAAAUGACUGCUAAUACCGCAUAAGCGCACAGUACCGCAUGGUAUAGUGUGAAAAACUCCGGUGGUGUGAGAUGGAUCCG